rnacentral:rRNA from 1 species
CCUACGGGAGGCUGCAGUGGGGAAUAUUGGACAAUGGGGGCAACCCUGAUCCAGCCAUGCCGCGUGUGUGAAGAAGGCCCUCGGGUUGUAAAGCACUUUCAGUGAGGAAGAACGCCUGGUGGUUAAUACCCAUCAGGAAAGACAUCACUCACAGAAGAAGCACCGGCUAACUCCGUGCCAGCAGCCGCGGUAAUACGGAGGGUGCGAGCGUUAAUCGGAAUUACUGGGCGUAAAGCGCGGGUAGGUGGCUUGAUAAGCCGGUUGUGAAAGCCCCGGGCUCAACCUGGGAACGGCAUCCGGAACUGUCAAGCUAGAGUGCAGGAGAGGAAGGUAGAAUUCCCGGUGUAGCGGUGAAAUGCGUAGAGAUCGGGAGGAAUACCAGUGGCGAAGGCGGCCUUCUGGACUGACACUGACACUGAGGUGCGAAAGCGUGGGUAGCAAACAGGAUUAGAUACCCUGGUAGUC